rnacentral:rRNA from 1 species
AUUGAACGCUGGCGGCAGGCCUAACACAUGCAAGUCGAGCGGAUGAAGGGAGCUUGCUCCUGGAUUCAGCGGCGGACGGGUGAGUAAUGCCUAGGAAUCUGCCUGGUAGUGGGGGAUAACGUCCGGAAACGGGCGCUAAUACCGCAUACGUCCUGAGGGAGAAAGUGGGGGAUCUUCGGACCUCACGCUAUCAGAUGAGCCUAGGUCGGAUUAGCUAGUUGGUGGGGUAAAGGCCUACCAAGGCGACGAUCCGUAACUGGUCUGAGAGGAUGAUCAGACACCCUGGAACUGAGACACGGUCGCGACUCCUACGGUAAGCAGCGGUGGGGACUCUUGCACAAUGGGCGAAAGCCUGAUCCAGCCAUGCCGCGUGUGUGAAGAAGGUCUUCGGAUUGUAAAGCACUUUAAGUUGUGAGGAAGGGCAGUAAGUUAAUCCCUUGCUGUUUUGACGUUACCAACAGAAUAAGCACCGGCUAACUUCGUG